UGGGGAAUUUUGGACAAUGGGCGAAAGCCUGAUCCAGCAAUGCCGCGUGUGUGAAGAAGGCCUUCGGGUUGUAAAGCACUUUUGUCCGGAAAGAAAUCCUUGGCUCUAAUACAGUCGGGGGAUGACGGUACCGGAAGAAUAAGCACCGGCUAGCUACGUGCCAGCAGCCGCGGUAAUACGUAGGGUGCAAGCGUUAAUCGGAAUUACUGGGCGUAAAGCGUGCGCAGGCGGUUUGCUAAGACCGAUGUGAAAUCCCCGGGCUCAACCUGGGAACUGCAUUGGUGACUGGCAGGCUAGAGUAUGGCAGAGGGGGGUAGAAUUCCACGUGUAGCAGUGAAAUGCGUAGAGAUGUGGAGGAAUACCGAUGGCGAAGGCAGCCCCCUGGGCCAAAUACUGACGCUCAUGCACGAAAAGCGUGGGGAGCAAAACAGGAUUAGAUACCCUGGUAGUCCACGCCCUAAAACGAUGUCAACUAGUUGUUGGGGAUUCAUUUCCUUAGUAACGUAGCUAACGCGUGAAGUUGACCGCCU
rnacentral:rRNA from 1 species